rnacentral:rRNA from 1 species
CAAUAGCGUAUAUUAAAGUUGUUGCAGUUAAAAAGCUCGUAGUUGGAUUUGUGGCGUACGGUGUGUUCCGGGCACUUGUUGUCUGAGUAACCCGCUGUUGCCAUCCUUGGGUGGAACCUGUGUGGCAUUAGGUUGUCGUGCAGGGAUGCCCAUCAUUUACUGUGAAAAAAUUAGAGUGUUCAAAGCAGGCUUAUGCCGUUGAAUAUAUUAGCAUGGAAUAAUGAGAUAGGACUUUUUUGCUAUUUUGUUGGUUUGCGCAAAGAGGUAAUGAUUAAUAGGGACAGUUGGGGGUAUUCGUAUUCCAUUGUCAGAGGUGAAAUUCUUGGAUUUUUGGAAGACGAACUACUGCGAAAGCAUUUACCAAGGAUGUUUUCAUUAA